AGCGUUUGUAGUCCAACGGUUAGGAUAAUUGCCUUCCAAGCAAUAGACCCGGGUUCGACUCCCGGCAGACGCAGUUUUUAUCGG